UGCAGUCGAGCGGAUGAAGGGAGCUUGCUCCUGGAUUCAGCGGCGGACGGGUGAGUAAUGCCUAGGAAUCUGCCUGGUAGUGGGGGAUAACGUCCGGAAACGGGCGCUAAUACCGCAUACGUCCUGAGGGAGAAAGUGGGGGAUCUUCGGACCUCACGCUAUCAGAUGAGCCUAGGUCGGAUUAGCUAGUUGGUGGGGUAAAGGCCUACCAAGGCGACGAUCCGUAACUGGUCUGAGAGGAUGAUCAGUCACACUGGAACUGAGACACGGUCCAGACUCCUACGGGAGGCAGCAGUGGGGAAUAUUGGACAAUGGGCGAAAGCCUGAUCCAGCCAUGCCGCGUGUGUGAAGAAGGUCUUCGGAUUGUAAAGCACUUUAAGUUGGGAGGAAGGGCAGUAAGUUAAUACCUUGCUGUUUUGACGUUACCAACAGAAUAAGCACCGGCUAACUUCGUGCCAGCAGCCGCGGUAAUACGAAGGGUGCAAGCGUUAAUCGGAAUUACUGGGCGUAAAGCGCGCGUAGGUGGUUCAGCAAGUUGGAUGUGAAAUCCCCGGGCUCAACCUGGGAACUGCAUCCAAAACUACUGAGCUAGAGUACGGUAGAGGGUGGUGGAAUUUCCUGUGUAGCGGUGAAAUGCGUAGAUAUAGGAAGGAACACCAGUGGCGAAGGCGACCACCUGCACUGAUACUGACACUGAGGUGCGAAA
rnacentral:rRNA from 1 species